rnacentral:tRNA from 1 species
UCCCUGGUGGUCCAGUGGCUAAGACUCCACACUCCCAAUGCCAGGAGGCCCAGGUUCGAUCCUUGGCCAGAGAA